ACAUCAUUUACAUUCUAAAAACAUCCGAUCUUUAAAACAUCAAAAUCUUGACAGAAUUAAUUUUUUACAUAAUUUAAAUCUUUUAAACAUAAAAAAUUAAGAAUCGCGUAUAAAAACUGAUGUCCAAACUACAGUGGCGGCUUGUGGCAGGUGGUUUUAACCAAGGUGGAUGGGAAAAACUUCAAUAUAUAUGAAAAA